rnacentral:rRNA from 1 species
GAUGAACGCUGGCGGCGUGCCUAAUACAUGCAAGUCGAGCGAACAGAUAAGGAGCUUGCUCCUUUGACGUUAGCGGCGGACGGGUGAGUAACACGUGGAUAACCUACCUAUAAGACUGGGAUAACUUCGGGAAACCGGAGCUAAUACCGGAUAACAUAUUGAACCGCAUGGUUCAAUAGUGAAAGGCGGCUUUGCUGUCACUUAUAGAUGGAUCCGCGCCGUAUUAGCUAGUUGGUAAGGUAACGGCUUACCAAGGCAACGAUACGUAGCCGACCUGAGAGGAUGAUCGGCCACACUGGAACUGAGACACGGUCCAGACUCCUACGGGAGGCAGCAGUAGGGAAUCUUCCGCAAUGGGCGAAAGCCUGACGGAGCAACGCCGCGUGAGUGAUGAAGGUCUUCGGAUCGUAAAACUCUGUUAUCAGGGAAGAACAAAUGUGUAAGUAACUGUGCACAUCUUGACGGUACCUGAUCAGAAAGCCACGGCUAACUACGUG